GACGAACGCUGGCGGCGUGCUUAACACAUGCAAGUCGAACGGAAAGGCCCCUUUGGGGGUACUCGAGUGGCGAACGGGUAAGUAACACGUGAGUAACCUGCCCUUGACUUCGGGAUAACUUCAGGAAACUGGGGCUAAUACCGGAUAGGAAUCCUUGCUGCAUGGUGGGGGUUGGAAAGCUUCGGCGGUUUUGGAUGGACUCGCGGCUUAUCAGCUUGUUGGUGGGGUAGUGGCUUACCAAGGCUUUGACGGGUAGCCGGCCUGAGAGGGCGACCGGCCACAUUGGGACUGAGAUACGGCCCAGACUCCGACGGGAGGCAGCAGUGGGGAAUAUUGCACAAGGGGCGGAAGCCUGAUGCAGCAACGCCGCGGGCGGGAUGACGGCCUUCGGGUUGUAAACCGCUUUCAGCAGGGGCGAAGCUUGUGGUGACGGUACCUGCAGAAGAAGCACCGGCUAACUACGUG
rnacentral:rRNA from 1 species